CAGACUGAUAGCAUAGUUAGCACGUGCUAGCUAGAACAGUCAAGUAGCGAACAUCAAGUGUACCACAUGAGUCCUUCUAGACUGAACAAAUAAAGUCAAAAUUGGACCAAAGACGACUUUCUCCCCGAGCAAAACGUCUCAGAGUCAUAGAGAUGUUUGUCCAGAAGGCAAAUGGACUUAACGUAAUUUACAAGUAAAGGUGUCCCUGCUCGAUGUCGAUAUCUCAUUCACAUUGUCUACGACGUCCACCGGAAUUCUCCCCUAAAUCGGUUGCGAAAGCUCGCAUUGACCCAAACUCCGGGCUUCACCCAGCUCUCCGGCUGCUCGGGGGUUCCCGGUGAGGACGUUGUCUCGCCUCCAAGAGGGAAACUCUCCCUCCUCCUCAUCAG
ensembl:lncRNA